CCGCGUGAGCGAUGAAGGCCUUAGGGUUGUAAAGCUCUGUUUUAGGGGACGAAUGUUACAGGGAGUAAUAUGUCCUGUAAAUGACGGUACCCUAAGAGGAAGCCCCGGCUAACUACGUGCCAGCGGCCGCGGUAAGACGUAGGGGGCGAGCGUUGUCCGGAAUUACUGGGCGUAAAGAGCACGUAGGCGGAGACUUAAGUCAGGUGUGAAAGACCGGGGCUCAACCCCGGGGUGGCACUUGAAACUGGGUCCCUUGAGGGCAGGAGAGGGCAGUAGAAUUCCUGGUGUAGCGGUGAAAUGCGUAGAAAUCAGGAGGAAUACCAGUGGCGUAGCGACUGCCUGGACUGACCCUGACGCUGAGGUGCGAAAGCGUGGGUAGCAAACAGGAUUAGAUACCCUGGUAGUCCACGCCGUAAACGAUGGAUACUAGGUGUGGGAGGUAUCGACCCCUUCCGUGCCGCAGCUAACGCAAUAAGUAUC
rnacentral:rRNA from 1 species